GUGAAAUGUGGUGGCUAAGCUUGGUGUGUGUGGGGGGGGUACAUACAAAAUAAUUAUUUUUACUGUUUAUCUUCUUCUCCUCGUUGCUAAGCAUUAAUGCAAAAGGCACGUGUGUUUCAGCAUGGGGAAAUCUCAACUCCGGGUACGAAAAAGCUAACUCUUGUGCCGCCACUCUGUGUGUCCAUCAGAGUUCAUCUUCUCCAGAAGACAACACGACUGCCAUGUGGCCGAAAGCUGAUAUUCCAAAAUGUUUAUCAGGCACGCUACACCCAGGGUAACUGACCGAGGACAGAUCUGUGGAGCACACAAGGCAGCCGUGAUUGUAAGGCGAAUAGAACUCCAUUUGGAAAGAGUGCAGCAGGCAGACACAGAGAUAGCUAAGGAGGACGCAGAAGUUCACACAGCUGCAGCAGGUCAGCUGAGUGCAUUCAGGUGCGUCUCAUUAACUGACCCAGCGGUGUAGCCUGAGCAGAUAUUCCCAUUAUCAGCGUCUGGACGAGGACUGGAGACUAGGGAGAUGGUCAUGUCAUCUCUGAAAAGAUGGAGCAGAAAUAGGAGGCUGAAGACUGGUGAUGAAAACGAUUAGUGGCAUGGAGAGACUUCAGUACCAGCAGAGAAAAAAUGGGACUGUUUUAGUGCAGAGAGCAGAAGAAUUGGUAGGCAAUUGAUGGAACGCAAUGAACGGUGCAGAGAGAGAAAAUUGGAGAUUCCUUUUUGCCUUCUGAUAAUACAAUAAAGGGACAUUUGAAGUCAACAAAUUGAUAAAAAGAGACACUUUCCUUUUACACAAUGCCGAGCAUGUAGCCUUGAGUUCCAAAGAUCAGUUAUAUUAGAGCCCAAGAUCUCACUAGGAGUCAAAGGAUUAUGAGCCAUAUACAUGUCUGAGGAUAUCGAGGUACAAUAGAUAGAAUUCAAAAUGGGGGAGAUUUUCCUUAUCUGUUCCC